CGUGUAGGCGGUUAGGCAAGUCAGGUGUGAAAUCCCUUGGCUCAACCAAGGAAGUGCGCUUGAAACUGCUUAACUAGAGUACAGGAGGGGAAAGUGGAAUUCCCAGUGUAGAGGUGAAAUUCAUAGAGUAUUGGGAGGAACACCGGUAGCGAAGGCGGCUUUCUGGCCUGAUACUGACGCUGAGACGCGAAAGCGUGGGGAGCAAACA
rnacentral:rRNA from 1 species